rnacentral:misc_RNA from 1 species
GUGAAUCAUCAAAUUUUUGAACGCAAAUUGCACUCUCUGGGAUUCCGGAGAGUAUGCCUGUUUGAGGGUCAGUUUAAAUAAAAAUCGGGGUUUUUGCCACCUUUGGUGGUGACGCUUCGGAAUUGGGUCGUCUUUACCUUUUGGUUAAGUGACUUAAAAUUUUUGAAUGAUAUCUGAACGUAUUUAAAUUUAUUUGGUACGUUUUGUAAUAUCGAAUGUUUACUAGGUGUGAUCAUCCUCAUGACUCCCGUCUAUAAUUUUUUUCUCUAAUGACCUCCA